rnacentral:rRNA from 1 species
CCUACGUGCGGCAGCAGUGGGGAAUAUUGGGCAAUGGGCGCAAGCCUGACCCAGCAACGCCGCGUGAAGGAAGAAGGCUUUCGGGUUGUAAACUUCUUUUCUCAGGGACGAAGCAAGUGACGGUACCUGAGGAAUAAGCCACGGCUAACUACGUGCCAGCAGCCGCGGUAAUACGUAGGUGGCAAGCGUUAUCCGGAUUUACUGGGUGUAAAGGGCUGGUAGGCGGGGAUGUAAGUAAGAUGUGAAAACCACGGGCUCAACCUGCGGCCUGCAUUUGAAACUGUGUUUCUUGAGUACUGGAGAGGCAGACGGAAUUCCUAGUGUAGCGGUGAAAUGCGUAGAUAUCAGGAGGAACACCAGUGGCGAAGGCGGUCUGCUGGACAGCAACUGACGCUGAGGCGCGAAAGCGUGGGGAGCAAACAGGAUUAGAUACCCCUGUAGUC